rnacentral:pre_miRNA from 1 species
CACGUACUCCCUCCGUUCUGAAUUACUUGUCUUAGAUUUGUCUAGAUACGGAGGUAUCUAGCACUAAAAUGAGUCUAGAUACAUCUGUAUCUAGACAAAUCCAAGACAAAUAAUUCGGAACGGAGGGAGUACAAG